ensembl:lncRNA
CUUGAUGGAGCUGUGUAUGAGGUGAAUCCUGGCAUGGUAUGUCAGUGCUCUGCUGCUGGAAUCAUUGGUCACAGCUUCAGUGCAGAAUCUAUGGCCUACAUGGAGGACAGACUACAGGAUCAAGUGCCUCUUUUGCAUCUCAGCAGUAAGGAAAGCACAAGAGGCAAUGGGCACAAACUGGAGCACAGGAGGUUCCCUCUGACCAUCAAGCAACACAUCUGUGCUGUACAGAUGAUGGAGUGGUGGCACAGGGACACAGAGCCUGUGGGGAUCCUUGGAGAUCUUCAAAACCAUCUAGACGUGGUCCCAUGCAACCUGCUCUGAAC